rnacentral:rRNA from 1 species
UAAUACUCCAUAGAUUAGAGACACUGGAAUGUUCUUUAGUCGAAAGUUCUGGCGCCUUAGGAUGGAUCUGCGGUCGAUUAGGUUGUUGUUGGGUAACGGCCCAACAAGCCUGUAAUCGAUACGGGUUGUGGGAGCAAGAGCCCGGAGAUGGAAUCUGAGACACGAUUCCAGGCCCUACGGGGCGCAGCAGGCGCGAAAACUUUACAAUGCAGGAAACUGUGAUAAGGGAACUCCGAGUGCCCGUAUACGCGGGCUGUCCAGGUGUUUAAAAAUCAUCUGAAGAAAGGGCCGGGCAAGACCGGUGCCAGCCGCCGCGGUAAUACCGGCGGCUCGAGUGGUGGCCACUAUUAUUGGGCUUAAAGCGUCCGUAGCUGGACCGAUAAGUCUCUUGGGAAAUCCGCCGGCUCAACCGGCGGGCGUCUAAGGGAUACUGUUAGUCUAGGGACCGGGAGAGGUGAGAGGUACUCCGGGGGUAGGAGUGAAAUCCUGUAAUCCCCGGGGGACCACCGAUGGCGAAGGCAUCUCACCAGAACGGCUCCGACAGUGAGGGACGAAAGCUGGGGGAGCGAACCGGAUUAAAUACCCGGGUAGUCCCAGCCGUAAACUAUGCGCGUUAGGUGU